UGCUGAGACUCCAUCCGUGGACAGUUUCUUACCCUCAGCUGAGAUGUCAUGGCCUAAGGAGUGAACUUCUUGUUUAACAAACUGCAAUUUGGACAAACUUGCUUUAUGACCUUCCUUGGCUAGGUGUUGAAGCAGUGCUAUGGUGUCGUUCUCACAUUGGUCUCUAGAUGGCACAUAAACCAUCAAAUCAUCAACAUAUUGGAGUAGGGCGGCGCCUGGAAAGAACACCAAGAACGGAAAGCAUAGAGCCAAAGCUACUGCUGAGGCUCACCAACAGGAGCACCACUCCUCUCCACUUCACAUGUCAAACAGGUUUGCUCUCCUUAGUGAUGCACCCACUGAGAAACCUGAAAGAGGUCUGGUCUUAGGGGACUCUAUCAUAAGGCACGUGAAAUUAGCUCAGCCUUUAGGGGCACCAGCAGCUUUAGUCAGGUGUAUACCAGGAGCCAGGGCACCAGACAUACAGUAGCAGGUAAUCUUAGGGUCCUAGGCAAGCACAGAUUCUCAAAAAUAGUUAUCCAUGCAGGAGCGAAUUAUAUACGCCUUCAUCAGUCUGAGGUUACUAAGAGUAACUUUGUAGAGGUGUUUAAAUUGGUGAAGGCGAUGUCUGAUGCUGUAGUAUGCUCUGGCCCCAUCCCAAUGCGGCAUGGCGAUGUAGCUUACAGCAGGUUAUGGUCACUAAACUGCUGGUUGUCCAGAUGGUGCUCUGAAAACAGUAUGGGCUUUAUAGAUAAUUGGGCUAAUUUUGAGGGCACUGCUGGCCUGUUAGGGUGGGAUGGUAUCCAUCCCACUUGGGAAGGUGCUAUUCUCAUUUCUUGCAGCAUAGGUCAUAGUCUCAGAACAGGCCUAGUUAAUUUCUGACAAUCCAGAGCCAAGGCCAGGGAGCAGACAAACAGGCUAAACUGACUGUCUGCUAGCUGCACAGAGUCGUCACUCAGGGUCCACUACAUCGAGACUGUGUCUGUUCCCCGAGCUCAACAAAAAAAUAGAAAUACUCAGAGUUUGUUCCAGUAACCUAAUCAAUAUAAAAUUAGAUCAUACUGACUGUACAGCCACUGGCAGCACCUUUGAUCUAAAGGUGGGGCUAUUAAAUAUUAGAUCUCUUACAUCUAAAGUGUUCAUGGUUAAUGAACUCAUUACUGAUCAGGAGUUUAAUGUACUGUGUUUAACAGAAACAUGGAUUAAACCAAAUGAAUAUAUGGCAUUAAAUGAAGCUAGUCCUCCUGGAUACUGUUACAUACACCAGCCUCGUCUAACUGGCAGAGGAGGAGGCAUCGCGGUUAUUUAUAAUGAUUAUCUAGGUGUAACACACAAACCUGGCUAUAAAUUUAAUACAUUUGAAAUUCUUCAUACUAAUAUAAAUGUAUGUAGCCUCAAAAAAUAAGUCUACCCAGUUAAUUCUAUUACCUAUUAUUUCCCGGCCCCUGGGGCCAUAUUCUGAGUUUCUUUCUGAAUUUGCAGAUUUUCUCUCAGACCUGGUUAUUUCCUUAGACAAAGUUGUUUAGUUGUCGGAGAUUUUAAUAUUCACUUUGAUAACCUGGAAGACCCUUUGAAAACAGCGUUUGUGUCCAUUUUAAAUUCAGAAGGGGUUAAUCACAAUGUCAUAGGACCGACCCAUAAUGGUGGUCACACCCUCGAUCUAAUACUAACAUUUGGGUUAAACGUAGAAAAUAUAGUCACACUUCCACAGUCUGAAGUUCUCAGAUCAUUAUCUCAUCUCAUUCAAAAUAUGUCUGAGUAAUAAUAUAUGCACCUCACCAUGCUACUGUAUUAAACGUACAUCCACAUCAACUACUGCACAGAGCUUUAUAAAUGAUCUCCCAGAGUUAUCAACUUUGACUGGGUCAUAAUCAGCCCCUGCAAAACUUGAUCAGGCAACUGAAUGCUUAGAGUCAACAUUCCACUAUACUUUAGAUAAUGUAGCUCCUUGUAAAAGGAAAAUGAUCAGAGAGAAAAAAAUUAGCACCCUGGUAUAAUGCUGACACUCGCACUUUAAAACAGACCACUCGAAAACUGGAACGUAAAUGGCGUCAAACAAAAUUGGUAGUGUUCAAAUUAGCAUGGAAGGAGAGCUUCCUGAUGUAUAGAAAAUCUCUUAGUGCUGCGAGAUCAACAUAUCUCUCCUCCCUAAUAGAAAAUAACAAAAAAUAAUCCUAGAUUCUUACUUAAUACUGUAGCAAAAUUAACCAGGAAUAAGUCCACUAUAGACACAUGCACACCUGUAGUAUGUAGUAGCAAUGACUUCAUGAAUUUUUUUUUAAUGAGAAAAUUGAGAAUAUCCGACAAAAAAUUCAAACUACUAAUUUAAGGUCAGACAAUGUAAGUGACCCUGUAGUUAACAAUAUAACCAUCAGAUGAGCAGUUAGAAUGUUUUACUCCCCACGCCUACUUAGAUCAAAAGGUGCAGGCUAUCUGCUGGUACCUCAUAUAGUGAAGGCUACAUCAGGGGGCAGAGCCUUUUCUUACAAAGCCCCACAGUUAUGGAACAGCCUUCCAAGUAGUGUUUGGGAAUCAGACACAGUCUCAGCAUUUAAGUCUAGGCUGAAGACAUACUGUAACUGUUUAGUCAAGCCUUUUGUUAAUGGUGUUUAUGAGGUAAAAGGUGUAGAUCUGGAGGGUCCUCAGACAUAGUGUGUUUUGGUAAACUGGGAUAUAUGGAUGCUGUCAGUCCCACACUUGCUUACUCACUCGAGUUUGUUGAUGGUGUAGUGCCUGGCUGCUUUAUGUCCUGGGGCUCCCUCAUGCCUGUGUUAGCUUCUGGCUUUUCCCUUUUAGUUAUACUGUCAUAGUUAGUUUUGCCAGAGUCCCUGCUUGUACUCAGUGCAAUAUGUAUACUGUACCUACUUAUUCAGGUGACAUUGGACAUACCCAACAGCCUGUGUUUUCUCUCUCUCCCCCUCCCCCCCCAAUCUGUCUCUCUGAGUUACAUGUCAAUCCUGGGAUCAAGGUGCUGACCUCUUCUGCUCCUCGGACCUGUCUGAUCCAUCCUGAUGCCCCAUGUUUGGUUGGAGUCUCAUUAUAUCGCUCCUGUGGAGGACGGCCCCAUAUGGACAGUUGAAAGUCACACUUGGAAGUUCUGGACACUUACAGUAAUGCUUUUGUGCCUGAGGACUACAGUUGACUUGCUAACUUUAGGACUGCGGUUGUCAUGAACAGUUUUGCACUCAAGUUUCCGUUAAUGAAGAGUUAUAACAUCAAUGAAACUGACUUCAUGUUAAAACUGU